UCCCUCAUCACAUAGCCUCACUGUACU
rnacentral:piRNA from 1 species